UACGUAGGGUGCGAGCGUUAAUCGGAAUUACUGGGCGUAAAGCGUGCGCAGGCGGCGGCUCAAGUCAGGUGUGAAAUCCCCGGGCUUAACCUGGGAAUUGCAUUCGAGACUGAAUAGCUAGGGUACGGUAGGGGGAAGUGGAAUUUCCGGUGUAGCGGUGAAAUGCGUAGAUAUCAGGAGGAACACCGGUGGCGAAGGCGGGUCUCUGGGCAGUAACUGACGCUGAGGAGCGAAAGCGUGGGGAGCGAACAGG
rnacentral:rRNA from 1 species